AGCUGAUACAGGGCCACGUUCUGAAGGGAGGCUGGACGCCACGGCAACCCUCUUGCUCACAUCACGGUAGCCAUUCCCAUGAUCCCGUGCUGCCGUGUGGGGAAGGAGUACAUGAGUUUAGUGGAGCCAUUAGGAGGUUCCUUCACUGCUCCAGGGGAGGGGUGAUGGCGAGGAGGUGGCCCAGCAUUUGUAACAGAUGCUGAAGAUAAAGCCGUCCUUGCUGAUGUCAAGCGUGAGGGGAAAAGGGGAUAGUCAAGGAUGACCGGUUGCUUUGCUCUGAAUAGGGGUGUCGUUUACUGAAGUGAGGAAUGGAGGCACGGGAGUCGGUAGCUCCUUGGCGAUGCAGAGGCUAGAGGUACACGUCUGAGGAUCAUCAGGAAGAAGUGACAUUUCGGACGACAGAGGGAGAGCCCUUGGCCCCAGGAUUGGUUCCCUGGGUCUAGAUGACUCUUGAGGACUUUUUGCUACAAAGGAAAGCAGAGAGAUGCGGAGGGUUGAAUUGUGUAUCCUUCGUCCCCCAAAAGAUGUUGAAGGGUUUCGAACUUUUUUUAAGGUUUAUUCAUUUUUGAGAGACAGAGACGGAGUGCAAGCAGGAGAGGAACAGAGAGAGAGGGAGACAGAGAAUCCGAAGCAGGGUCCAGGCUCUGAGCUGUCAGCACAGAGCCCAAUGUGGGGCUCGAACCCACAAACCAUGAGAUCAUGACCUGAGCUGAAGUCAGACACUUAACUGACUGAGCCACCCAGGCGCCCCAAAAAAUGUUGAAGUCUUAAGGUCCAGAACCCAUGGCUGUGACCUCUUUUGGAAGUAAGGUCUUUGGAGAUGAGGUCAUUAGGAUAGGCCCCAACCCAACCUGAUUGGUGUUGUUCUAAAAAAGAGGGUUUGGACCCAGAGACACAGAGGCAGACACCUACAGAGAGAAGAUGAAGUGAAGGGACACAGAGGGGUGACGGACAUCGACAAGGCAACGAGAAAGGCCUGGAACGGAUUCUCCCUCCCAGCCCUUAGAGGGAACCCAACACUGACACCUUGAUCUUGGACUUCUGGCCUCCAGAGCUGUGAGACAAUACGUUUCCGUGGUUCAGGUGGUCCAGUCUGUGGUCCUCUGUUACAGCAACUUUAGCGGCUGACGGUGGGAGGUAUAGCUGAGGUGGAUGUGGACUUUACUGCAGGUCUGUAACCAGGGGUGGGGGGGUGGAACGACAUGCCUGUAGGAGGAGGGGAACGAUCCGGGCUCGAGGGAAAAAUGGGGCAUGUGGGAGAGCGAAGGGGUGGCUCUCUGAAAAGACCAGGUUCUGUGCAUCUUGGGCCUUUGCACACGUGGCCCCCGGGCCUCACUGGAUGGGCUGCCCCUCCAAGGGACCCGGAACUGCCCCCCUGUGCUCCGGGCACCCUCACUGCUGCCCCAUCUCUGCACUUCCCACCCACCGCCCAGUGCUCUGGGAGGGACCAGGACUCGGGACGCUGAGCCUAACAGAGUCCGGCCACAGGAGGGGCUCUGCGAACACGCUUUCAGCAAAUGAAUGUGAAUCCUUCGGGAAUGUGUUUGUCCACGGGGCGCUGGUUUUAGAACUCAUUUUGGAAAUUGGUCCUGGCACGUCCCCGUCUCUCCAGACCAACGUUGAUUUUGUCCUGUGUUUACUGAAUGCUUUGGGGGGUUAUAAAUCUGGAGACAGCUCCACCAGGAACUUUUCACUGGGGCAGACCCUGUGAACUGUGUAACCUUGAGCAAGCUACUUAACCUCCAUGACCCUUGGUUUUUCCAUUAGUCAAAUGGGGCAAAGCGCUGCCCUUUUUCUGCCUCACAGAUGUGGAUGUGGUGGCUCCAGCUAAGUUCUGAAGCAGAAGCUUGGGUGUGUGGAUGCAUCAGUCUUUGAGGGCCCUAAAUGAAAGGCACAAUCAGUGGGUUUCUCGGAGAAGAGCUGGCAUGUGUGCAUGUAAAGAGGGGGAAGGUUUAGUCCCUCGGUCCUCUUUAUCCAGAGCUCUGAAGUUUUAAAAGUUUUCAAUAAAGAAAGUCGAAUGGUGGCAAAGUGCACAUAACGUUUACCCUCUUAACCGUUUCUGAGUGUGCGGUUCUGUGGGUUGAACUUCCUCACGUGGUGGUGCCAUUAUCACCCCCAUCCAGAAUUUUUUCAUCAUCCGCAGCUGAAAGUCGGCACCCAUUAAAUGGUAAGUCUGCAUUCCUCCCCUUCCCCCUCAGCCCCUGGCAACCACAUUCAUACUUUCUGUGUUUAUGCAUUUGCUUCCUCUAGGGGCCUUGUCUGAGUGGACUCACAUGGCAUUUAUCCUUCUGAAACCGGCCUAUCUCACUUAGCGUAAUGUCCUCAAGGUUCAUCUAGGUAGCCUGGGUCAGAAUUUUCCUCCUUUUUAAGGCUGAACACUAUUCCAUUGUAUGGAUGUACCAUGCUUGGUUCAUCCAUUCAUCCAUCGAUGGCCAUUUGGGUGCUUUCACCCCUUGGCUGAUAGGAAUUCGCCUUCAGAAAUCUGAGCUGUACGUUACGGCUUGACUUCUACGUACGUCUCAUUGUCCAUCCGUGGCUUCCUUAGCCUUCUUGUUUGAUUCAUCUCAGUGUGUCAGAAACCCGGACUCAUCUGGGCUCUUCUGCACUGUCUAUGCUUUUAACUUUUUUUUUUUUUUUUUUUUUUUUUUUUACAUUUCCAUGAGGCCUUUUUGAGAGAAUUAAACAUUAGAUAAUUUAAGGUAUUAUGGUUUUGGAGUUAAGGCCACUUUGGUGCAUUUUUCCCCCCCAGAGGAUCAUCUGUUUUAUCUCCACUUGACUUUUUCAAAAUGCUGGAACUGUCUUUUGAUUGAACUUGAAGAUUUUUCUUUUUUUUUUCCUUGACAUUUAUACUACCGAAGGUGGAGAAAUAAGGCCUUUGCUUAUUAACAAAAUGAAUGCGUCUCUUUCCCCCAUGGGAAAUUGAAAACAAUUUAGAGAAUAGAGUAAACUUCAGAUUUUCCUGUGAUGUGAAUUUGGGUGACCUUUCCUUGAGGUAAGAUUUAAGGGAGAUCUAGCUGGGCUUGACAGACAGUGAUGGAGCCAGGUGCCUCCGGAUUUCACCUUCGCUCACCGUUGUUCUUUCCAACUGGAAGCACCUUCCCCCCCCCGCCCCCCGCCCACUCGUCUGGGCUCUUCCGGCAUCAGCAGAGAGAGCACAGCUGAGGCCCAGAGAGGUUCAGUGUAUUCGCGAAGGUCACCCAGGGAGCUGGUGACCAAGGGAAAGCAGGGCUCAACCCAGGGGCCCUCAUGAUGCAGCAGUGGACCCCUGCUCCAGACAGUAAAUUCUCAGAGGCAGUGGUGGUUUAUUGUUCGGUAUCUUCUCUCUUCCUUUUCACUCGUAUAUGCCAGAUGUGCUUGGGGAAAUUCCCCGUUAGACCAGCGCAUAGUUAACACCUCCUUUGUCUGACCGUGUCACAUGUUCCCCCUCUGGAGAUGGUGGGGGCCCGGAGUUUCCAGCCAGCUUGAUCUAGAGCCAUGGCCUGUGGCGCGAUGUUGGUGGCCGGUGCUGGAGAGGCCUGCCUGCCAUGUGCCCGUCCUUGCCCGGGAGUGGGAAGUAGAGAAUAAACAAAGCAAAGACACCGUGUUGGAAAUAGGACUGCAGAGCUGAGAAGACGCUUAGAAGAGUGGCCUUGGGCCAGCUCCUACUCUCUCUAGGUAGGCCAGGAAUGCUGGGCCCAGAGCAAGGGGACAAAGCAGUGGAAAGAAGGAAAAAGAACCGUCCAGCACCAGGGCACCCUCCUACCUGGUCUAGUUAGCGAAGCAAAAGGAUACUCCCUAGCCCCAGAUAAAAGUGGAUCAGAACUCAGAAACACUUGUGACUAAAAUUUGUGCUUCUUUGGGCAAGCAUCUCCAAAACCAAAUCUCCUAUCCUCCUCAGCAUCCCUUUUCUUAGGUGAGAAAGCAACUCAGAGGACCCUUAAGAGAACGGGUUUGUUUAAGCACAUCACAGGGAGUGAGCAGGGCUGAGGUAGAACGCCCCCUUUUCCCAGCUGGGUGCCGAAUGUACUGUUUGGCACCAGGGAUUAGUUUCCCAGUUUGAGCAGAAGAUCAGAUCCUGAAAGAGGACAGAAGGUCAAAGGUCACACCAGUCAGGGAGGGAGGAAAACAAAACAAAAACAGGAAGUGGCCCGCUCAGGGAUUUUCCAUGGGAAGGCUGGAAAACAUAUCCGGACUUAAAGAAAAAAAGGAAGACAACGGGGCACCUCCGAAUCUUCUGGAAGCCUCUUGAGAUGUUGUUGGAACUGUUGUCAGUAGGAGCCAGCUUGAUGGAAGCAUGGAAGGGGACCAGGACACCCGGUGGGAGCCCCAGUCCUGGACUCACAUUGGCUCAUCACCAGAUCUUUCAUUGCCUCUGUCCUCCUUUUGGAAGGAGAGUUUUCAUCUCUUGUAUCCCUUGGAGAGGUGUGUUCAUGUGUGUCCUAAUGUUGAGGCAUGAAAAGGGGUCUAUAACCCAGAAAACAUCCCCACCUCUAAGCAAGCGUCCACAAGGGGUGUUUCUGAUGUAUAUGGGCAUGUUGUCUUUAGAGCGAAUGUCAUAUUAAUGGAAAAACACCUGCCUCUCACAUUUAAGACUAACUGACUCAGUCCUUUUGCUACCAAAAUUUGCAAAGGUCAAGGCCAGAGAGGGGGCUGGGCAAGGCUGAGGGAGGCUGUCCUGCCAUCUUCUCUCAGUUUCAGUUCUGCCCCUCCCUCUCUGUCCUAAUCAGGGCAGGGACAGACUCCCCGAGAGAACCACUCUGUCCUCUCCCUCCUCGUCUCUGCCUUCUCAGCAUGGGUCAGGGGCUGUCGGGCAGGAGAGUGACAGGUCCUGCAUGGAGGUCCAACAGAGGAAAGACUCCCUGUUGUUUAUAAAUCUCACCUUUUGUACGAGAGCAGGGGACAAAUAUCCUGGAUCCCCAUCCUGUGCUCUGUGCAGUGGCCACCCCCUCCCUCACAGGGCCUGACUCAAUGGGUGCUGUGCUCAGCCCUGCUUCCUGAUUUGAAUCGAGGAGUCUCCUUGCCAACAACUGAAAGGGGGGAAAACAGUCCCCAGUCCUUCGUGGCCGUGUUCUGUCUUGAGAUCUUGUUUUAGUUCCUAGUUAAUCAAGGAAUCAGAAUUUGAUGUAAAAAGAGAAGAAUAUGCCAGUGUGUUUCUAACGCCCCACAUGCAAAUGAGCCCGUAAAGUAUAUCGCAGGCAGCCACCGGAGGUCAAAGGUCACCCUCCACGUCUGACAAUUAUUUUGCUCAAAAUAAACGGUGAGCAGGACUGCAGGAAAUGAGUUGCGGCAACCUCAAUUCAUGUGUGAAAGUUUCCAAUUAAGAAUUCAAAGAACUUGUUGUUUAAUGAAAAAGUGAAACAAAUUCCCUUUGUGUGUUUCCCCACUUCCUUGGUGGUCCCUGGCAAAGAGCCGGGUCCGCAGGAAUAUGGCCGUCUUUCAGUUCACCUGAUAAAAGAGGGAGCUUGGCAAGUGAUUAUAUGACCAGAAGCAAAACGUGAAGUAAGGGGAAGGUAGUUGAUCAGAUCCUCUGGCUUGGGGUUGGCAAAGCACCGCCUAGGCCAAAUAUGGCCCACAGCUUAUUUUUGUCAAUAAAGUUUUAUUGGAACACAGCCAUGCCCAUUUGUUCCUGUAUUUUCUGUGACUGCUUUUGCAGUACAGGGGGCAUGGGAGCUGUAUGAGGGAGCUGAAUAAUUGGGACAGAGAGACCAUAUGGCCUGCAAAGCCAAAGUAUUUGCUUUCUGUAAAAUUUCUGUACAGAAAGUUUGCCAACCCACCGUCUAGUUCAUUGGUUCUUAAUUUUUGUUGCACAGUGAGAUCCCUUUGAAACUGUGAUGAAAACUUUAUACACACCGCCUUAUAGAAAAAUGUAUGACAUCUUUGUUAAGAAUGCCUACAUGUAACUCUAACUAGACCCUUCUCCAGAGCCUGGGAUCAAGGUAGUCCAUUCUGGACCCCUCACAGGAGGAGUUUCUGAAGGUACGAAGGACACCUUCUGCUACUAUCCACCUCCACCCACGUGCUGGUCCCAGUUGUGAUAAAGCAUGAAGAACCUCAGAUUGCAGGUCAGGGGACACAAGUUCUCUUCUGGGCUCCGUCACCCUUAAGCUGUGUGACCUUGGGCAAGUCACUUCACUUUCUCCGUGCCUUGGUUCCCUCACGUGUCAAAUGCGAGGUCCAGAAGAGAUACUUAAGAAAAAAAAUUGUUUUAAUUGAGGUAUAAUUGACAUGUAACAUUGUAUUGGUUUCAGGCCUACAGCAUAACAAUUUGAUAUUUGUGUAUCUUGUAAAAUGGUCAACACAGUAAGUCUAGUUAACAUCUGUUACCACCCAGCGUUAAUUUUUAGAUUUACGCCCUUGGUAACUUACAGGUCACCAUGUUGUCUCUUGUACCCCAUGACUUGCCUAUUUCAUAACUGGGCGUUUGUACCUCUUGACCCCCUUCAUCUUUCCACCUGCCCCUCUGGCAGCCCCUUCCUCCUCUGGCAAUCACAAUUCUGUUCUCUGUAUUUAUGAUUUUCAUUUUGUUUUGUUGGUUCCCUUGUUUUACUUUUUAGAUUUUGUGUCCAAGUGAUAUCAUACAGUAUGUGUCUUUCUCUGUCUGACUUAUUUCACUUAACGUAAUGCCCUCAAGAUCCCUCUGUGUUGUCACACAGAUCUUAUUUUUUAUGGCCAAGUAAUAUUCUGUUGUGCGUGUAUCUAUCUAUCUAUCUAUCUAUCAUCUUCUUUAUCCCUUUAUCCAUCAAUGGACACUUAGAUUGUUUCUAGAAUAGAUGAUCUGCUUAAAGCUCUUUCUGGUUUUAGAUUUCUAUGCUCUUCCAGGGUCUCCUGGAAUUUAUUUCUGGAGCUGAGUAGAUAAAGUGUUGUGAUUCAUAUACUUUCAAAACAUCUGAAAUCCCUUGGCAACAUAGACCUGUCUGGGUGGCACUGAAAUCUGGGAUUUGAUGACCACGCUGGAUAUUUGGCACCUGCGGGAGAAGACCCUCACAUGCCCCGGCCUUCACCCAACCCUGGCCAGCCAUCCUGAUAAAUCGAGUACACACAGGGGCUGCUCAAAAAAGCACAGGUGGACCCAGUUCAGCCCAUCAGAACUCAGGGGAAACAAGGUAGAACCCAAGGUCUCUUUUUUUGUUUUUAAAGUUUAUUUAUUUAUUUUGAAAGAGAGAGAGUGAAGGAGCACGAGCAGGGUAGGGGCAGAGAGAGAGAAUCCCAAGCAGGCUCCACACUGUUAGCACAGAGCACCCGGUGCGGGGCUGGAACUCACAAACCAGGAGAUCACGACUGAAAUCCAGAGUCGGAUGCUUAACCGACGGAGCCACCCAGGCUCCUGGAACCCAAGGCCUCCUGGUAGAAUGAUCUGCAAUAACACCUUCUACCAGAACGAGCACAUGCAGCUUCUCUGGGACAGAUACUGCCCGCCAGGAAGACAGGUUUUGCUUUUGGAUCGCUUUGGGUUUGAAAAAGGAAAAUAAAUACAUAUUUUCACUGAUCCUAAAAAUACUUCACGUUGCUUGUAGAUAAUUUUAAGAAAUACAGAAAAUGUGAAAAAAAGGUGAAAUGUUACGCUGAAAUCCACCUCUGCAGAGACGAGCAUUGCUAACAACUUGAUAAACCUCCCAGAUGUAUUUUAUGCAUGCAUACCAUCAACACACGGUUACAUAAAUGGGCUGUAUGUGUUUUGUCUUCUACGUGUCAUUUGCCAAAGUGAUUUGUGCUGAUAUUGUUCUGUGGCGUUGGAGGUAGAGUUCCAACAUUAUUUGUAACGGCCGCACGGUAUUUCAUUGGACGUACUAUAAUGCACGGGCUCAUUCACAUCUAGGUUUUUCCGGUUUGUGUGCGUGUGUGCUCUCUUCGUACUUAGAUCUUGUGCGUUUUGCUGCUUGUUCAGCUGAGGAGCAAUUCCUUGUGUUGAAAUCCGGGAGUCAAAGGCCGCUCCUUAAUAACUGGAAUGCACAGGGUGAAACUGCCUCCAGAAGAUGUGUAGCACUCUGUGUCCACCAGCACGGAGGAGAGCCAUCCGUUCCCACUCUCUGGCCAACACUGACUGUUGCCGUUGUGGAUAUUUAGGGUCUUGGCCAACGUGAUAGGUUAAAAGUGAUCUUGUCGCGUAGCUUUGCAUUUCCAACAUCGUUUUGGUUUUGAAUGGCACUGUCUGUGAUUAAGCAGAGGUGAAGGUAAUGACUUCAUAUCGGGUUCUGAGCCUGGCGUGAGAGCAGACGUAUACCAUUCAGAGGAGCCCGGAGCCCCCACCGAAGAGCUGGAUGCUCUUUGAGGCCCAUAAUCCUUCACUGACUUACUUAAUCACAGGCUCACUUGCGGCUACUUUUGGGCACCUGCCUAGAAGGCCACAAGGUUCUGGUCAUGAAGGGGCCUGGAUGACAGGGAGGACAUCCGUGCCAUAAUUUUGAGGCUCUUUGCAGGCAGAGAGCUGGCCCCCUGUGUCCCGCUCGUGGCUCCGCUCGAUGCCACGUCCACUGACGGCAUCUCCCUUGGUCUGAACGGAUCUCCCCACCUCUCUCCCGAGACUGGCUUUAGCUAAUACAACCAAGAAAUCCUCUGGAAGAGUCAGAAAUGCCCGGGGCUGCCCGUGACAUAGUGCAAAGGGUGGAUCGGAGAGUGGAGGGCAGCCACCAGGGACGAUGGUGGAGAAGCUGAGUGCGUGGAGCGACAGGUCUGUCCCGCAGCCUCCGCUGUGGCCUCAGGCCAAGAUGGGCGGCUGGGGCAGAAGGGGGCUGCAGCAGGGAGCCCUUCCUUCUAGGUCUGGUGCUCAGUGGUUUCCUGCUCUGCUGAAGGGCCGUUGCUCGGUGGUGAUGAUUCAUGGCAUUUGGACACUGUGGCCGUGUUCUGAACAGGGAAGUGAAAAAUAGCACAGCCGAGGGCAGUGCAGGGCAGGGCAGGGGCUGUCACAAGAUGGGAAGCUUUCCUUUGGAAAAUGCAGGGGGCGGGGGCGUCACAGCCAAGUUGGUGGCAGCGGUUCCCGCCGUGUGAGUGUGGCCCCGUUUGCUCUUCUUCUGGGCAUCAACUUUUCCAAGUGUCGGCCACUAAGUUGUCCCUCGGAAGUGGCUGCUGGUCUUGGCCGAGCCGCUGUGAGGAGGAGGAAGUGGACGGGUGAUUCAGUGAGUGUCAGCUUCCUCUGUGACUCGGGAUUGGAUCCGUUUCUUAGGGUGGUGCCAGAGGGCCUGUGUGGCUUUGAAAUUCUCUGCCACUGGCGGUGGCCCUCCCUUGACCCCUUUUGAACGAGUAAGGGGAUUCAGCUGGAUUCUGCAGCCUCCCGCGAAGUUGGGCAGGCCCUUCUGACUUGAGGCCUUCCCGUGGCUCCGGCCGACAAAGAUCAGUGACGGGCUGAGCUGAGGCCUCUGGUGGGUCUGUGUGCGUGUCAGGAGCUGCCUCGUAUUUGGGAACUGGAUUGCGAGAGCAGCUGGGAUCUGAGGGGCCCAGUCCCGGCAGGUGUUAGACUGAGGGAGGAGGCAGUUCAACUGCCCGGAGCCACCAGCUCUCCUGGAGGCCAUUUGUCCACGUAGCCAGUGGACGACAGGAGACGGCCAGAUGCACAGCUGCUUCCUUCCCACGAGGAGAGUCAUGACUGGCUUUUUCUUCCGGAGCACCGAGUUUUCCAUGGAUCUGUCGUUAGCGCGCAGCCUAAGCCGCCAUUGCUGCCCUCGCCUGAAACCUGUUCUAAGAAGCACUUCAAUCAUCCAGGUCCUCACCUCUGCCUAAGAGUCCAUAGUCCUAAAAGCACUGACUUGGUAAAGACUGAAAAACCCUCUCAAAAAAUGCUGCAGGGGCUUCUGUAUUCGAAUGCCUUCCAUCACCUUGGAGAACAGCCUCCGCUUCCGGGUCAGUUCUGUCCCACCUCUUCCCCCCUCGGUCCCCUCCUGUUUCUGUGGCCAGAACAGAGGUCAGCUGGUCUUACUCAGGCAGGAUGGCCAGCAUCCAGUCACUGGUGUAUUUAAUGAGGACUCUAGUAUUAGUCACACGCACAGAAGUGCAGCUCAAACCAGUCGGGGCUUCCAGAAAGGAGCUCUGUGUGACAACUGUACAAGGGGGGAGGGGCCCGAGGCACUUGCAGCUGGGACCUGACCCUGCUGGGUGCUCUGUCCUUUCUCUCACAUCAUCUUCCAGCAAAACAGUGAUUUUGAUCUCUUUGAUAAGCUUUCUCCACACGGAAUGUGCACGAUUGCAGUUUGCUUAUCACACCUCACAGCAUCACUGCCAGAGAGGGGCUGGGAGUUCCAAAGUUCCAGAGAGAGGCCUCGAUGGCCUUCGCUGGGGUCAGAUGACCAUCACUGACUCAAUCACUGUGGCCAGGGAAGGAUCUCUGAGCACAUGGCUGUUUCGCAUUUGGACCCUAUGAUUAGCGCUGCGCUAAGCAGGGGAGGCAGUAUUUUCCAGAAGGAGGGGCUCCUGUCCCGGGCAGACAAACAAUGGGCCCACUCCCCCGGUGUGCUGAGCUCUUCCUCACCCCCAGGCUGAGGACUCAGGCCCUCACUGCCUCCCCUCUGCCUCUCCCGGGCCAGGGGGUCCCCUCAGAACCCACUGUUUUAUUGCUUAAAAAUCCAUAAGAGAUGGGGGUUUUCUCAGCUAAGUUUUUUGCGGGGGGCGGAAUACAUGUCUGGGGCGGGAACUGUACGAUUUUCUGAGGAGACGGCCUCGGAGGAUCUAAGCAACGAGUGAAGGAACAACAAAGGGACCCUUCUCAGAAGCAUGGCAAAAAUGAAACCAAAUAAAAACCCCAUAAAAAUCCCUACUGGGGCAGAGGAAAUACCAGCGUGAUGCUUUUGAGCCACAUCUUCAGUAAUAAAGGAAAGAUUCAAGGAUCGGCCGUUCUGACGGGAUUAUGUUUGGGCUUGAGGGAGAAUGUGCUGGAAAACAAUGAAAGGGAGUCAUCCAAGCAAGGGAGGUCUGUUGGUGCGUGCAUUUGUAUGUGUGUUGUUGCAAUUCAGGAACUGACCGAUGACCAGGGUCAUGGGGAGUCUGAGAGAGACACCCGACAGGAACCGGUUCAAAGUUUGUGCCCAGCCUGGGGAGAUCAGAUGACCGGCAGCUGGCCUGCCCCCUGCCGGCUCCCAUUGAUGUCGGAGGGGCUCUGACCCCCGUUUGGUCACAGAAAUACCCGUUUGGAAAUCUCUUUGAAGGCUGAUUAAGUAAACGCUCUCGCGGCACCAACAGUAACAACUGAGUGACGUAGUCGAAGUGCUCGUGGGCCAAGCUUGUAGGAGGGACUCCGCACACGUUCGCUGACUUCUCUUCCUGCUUCACCUCUGUUAUGGUUCACGUUCUACGUUCACGUCCAUGAUGUUGAAGUGCUAAUCCCCAGGACCCCGGAAUGUGACUGUGUUUGGAGAUAGGGUCUUUAAAGGGGUAGUUACGUUAAAAUGAGGUCAUUUUAAGUGAAAAUGAGGCCCUGAAGCAAUCCUUUUAAAAAAAAUUUCUUUUAAUGUUUAUUUUUGAGAAAGAGAGAGACAGAGCAUGAGCAGGGGAGGGGCAGAGAGAGGGGGAGACACAGAAUCCGAAGCAGGCUCCAGGCUCUGAGCUGUCAGCACAGAGCCCAACGUGGGGCUCAAACUCGUGAACCGAGAGAUCAUGACCUGAGCCGAAGUCGGAUGCUCAACCGACUGAGCCACCCAGGUGCCCCCAAACCAAUCCUUAUAGGAAGAGGAGUUCGCAACCCAGGCACAUACAAGGGGAAGAUGAUGUGAAGACACAGGGGGGAAGACAGCCAUCGACAAGCCAAGGAGAGGAGGCUGGGACCGAUCCUUCAUCCAAGAAGGAGCCAACCCUGUCGACACCUUGGUCUUGCACUUCCAGCCUCCAGAGCUGUGGGGAAAUAAAUUUCUGUUGUUUAAGCUGU